rnacentral:rRNA from 1 species
AUACCCUGUUACUUUUUUUAAUAAACUUUGGAUUAAUAGUAAUAAUGAAAUUUAAGGGAUUUGGCGGCAAGAUAGCUUUUUAGAGGAACCUGCCCUGUAAACGAUGAGCCACGAAAAUCUUACUUCCUUUAGGAUUCAGUUUGUAUACCGCUGUUGUCAGUCAAGUUUUAGAAGAUAUUUUCUUUUUGGUAUAGCCAGUGACUUCAAGUAAAGGUGCAGCUUAUGGGGGAGAUAGAGGUGGGUUACAAUUAAAUGAAUAAUACGGAUAAAGACUGAGAAAGGGUCUCUUGAAGGUGGAUUUAACUGUAAGAUUUAAGAAAAUCUGGUGAUAGCUCUAUCUUGUG